rnacentral:rRNA from 1 species
UACGUAGGGUGCAAGCGUUAAUCGGAAUUACUGGGCGUAAAGCGUGCGCAGGCGGUUAUGUAAGACAGAUGUGAAAUGCCCGGGCUUAACCUGGGAACUGCAUUUGUGACUGCAUGGCUAGAGUUUGGCAGAGGGGGGUAGAAUUCCACGUGUAGCAGUGAAAUGCGUAGAUAUGUGGAGGAACACCGAUGGCGAAGGCAGCCCCCUGGGUCAAGACUGACGCUCAUGCACGAAAGCCAGGGGAGCGAACGGG